rnacentral:rRNA from 1 species
GGGAGGUAGUGACAAUAAAUAACAAUACAGGGUUCUUUUGGAUCUUGUAAUUGGAAUGAGUACAAUUUAAAUCUCUUAACGAGGAACAAUUGGAGGGCAAGUCUGGUGCCAGCAGCCGCGGUAAUUCCAGCUCCAAUAGCGUAUAUUAAAGUUGUUGCAGAUAAAAAGCUCGUAGUUGAAUUUCGGGAUCAAGGAAUCGGUCAUGCCUUGGUAUGUACUGGUUUUAUUGGUUCUCACCUUCUAAAGAACCAUAAUGUCAUUUAUUUGAUGUUAUGGGGAAUUAGGACUGUUACCUUGAAAAAUUAGAGUGUUUAAAGCAAGCUUACGCUUGAAUACAUUAGCAUGGAAUAAUGAAAUAGGACAUCAGAUUCUAUUUUGUUGGUUUCUAGGAUCGAUGUAAUGAUUAAUAGGGAUAGUUGGG